UACAGAGGGUGCGAGCGUUGUCCGGAAUCACUGGGCGUAAAGGGCGCGUAGGCGGCCUGAUAAGUCGGGGGUGAAAUCCUGUGGCUUAACCACAGGGCUGCCUCCGAGACUGUCGGGCUCGAGCACAGUAGAGGCAGGUGGAAUUCCCGGUGUAGCGGUGGAAUGCGUAGAGAUCGGGAAGAACAUCAGUGGCGAAGGCGGCCUGCUGGGCUGUUGCUGACGCUGAGGCGCGACAGCGUGGGGAGCAAACAGG
rnacentral:rRNA from 1 species